AAUCUUUUGUGUUACAGAUUACAUUAUAUAUGUAAUACAUCAAUCAUACCCUCUAUGUAUUAUGGACCUCUUUUUCAUCAUGUUUCUUGAUGACUUUUCAGUAUGUUCAAAGGACAAUAUAAUGAAAUCAUAGAAUCAUAGAAUCAUAGAAUCACUAAGGUUGGAAAAGACCCACAGGAUCAUCCAGUCCAACCAUUCGCCCUUCAUCAAUGGUUCCCGCUAAACCAUGUCCCUCAACACAACAUCCAAACGCUCUUUAAACACCACCAGGGUCGGUGACUCCACCACCUCUCUGGGCAGCCCAUUCCAGUGCCUGACCACUCUUUCAGAGAAGCAGUGUUUCCUAACAUCCAGCCUGAAUCUUCCCUGGUGCAGCUUGAAGCCAUUCCCUCUCGUCCUAACACUAGUCACAUGAGAGAAGAGACUGACCCCCACCUCACUACAACCUCCCUUCAGGUAGUUAUAGAGAGCAAUAAGGUCUCCCCUGAGCCUCCUCUUCUCUAGACUGAACAACCCCAGCUCCUUCAGCCGCUCUUCAUAAGGCCUGUGCUCCAGACCCCUCACCAGCUUUGUUGCCCUCCUCUGGACACGCUCCAGGGCCUCGAUGUCUUUCUUACAGUGAGGGGCCCAAAACUGGACACAGUACUCAAGGUGCGGCCUCACCAGUGCUGAGUACAGGGGAAUAAUUACUUCCCUGUUCCUGCUGGCCACACUAUUUCUGAUACAAGCCAGGAUGCCAUUGGCCUUUUUGGCCACCUGGGCAAACUGCUGGCUCAUGUUCAGUCUAGUGUCAAUCAACACCCCCAGGUCCAUUUCCUCUACACAGUCUUCCAGCCACUCUGCACCAAGCCUGUAGCGUUGCCUGGGGUUAUUGUGGCCAAAGUGCAGGACCCGGCAUUUGGUCUUGUUGAAUCCCAUCCCAUUGGCUUCAGCCCAGCUAUCCAACCUAUCCAGAUCCCUCUGUAAGGCCUCGCUACCCUCAGGCAGAUCAACACUUCCAGCUAGCUUGGUGUCAUUUGCAAACUUACUGAGGGUGCACUCAAUGCCCUCAUCCAGGUCAUCAAUAAAGAUAUUAAAGAGGACAGGCCCCAGCACCGACCCCUGGGGAACACCACUCGUGACUGGUCGCCAGCUGGAUUUAACUCCAUUCACUACCACUCUCUGGGCCCGGCCCUCCAGCCAGUUCCUUACCCAGCGAAGAAUGUAUCUGUCCGAGCCACGGACUGCCAGCUUGUGGAGGAGAAUACUGUGGGAGACAGUGUCAAAGGCUUUGCUGAAGUCUAGGUAGACUACAUCAACAGCCUUUCCCUCAUCCACCAGACGGGUCCCUAGAUCAUAGAAGGAGAUCAGGUUGGUCAAGCAGGACCUGCCCUUCGUGAACCCAUGCUGGCUAGGCCCGAUCCCCCGGUUGACCUGCAUGUGCCGCGUGAUCUCCCUCAAGACAAUCUGCUCCAUAAUCUUCCCUGGCACCAAGGUCAGGCUAACAGGCCUGUAGUUCCCUGGAUCCUCCCUGCAGCCCUUCUUGUAGACGGGAGUCACAUUGGCAAGCCUCCAGUCUUCUGGGACCUCAGCCGUUAACAAGGAGCGUGGAUAGAUGAUGGAAAGCGGCUCAGCUAUCACCUCUGCCAGUUCCCUCAGCACUCUUGGGUGAAUCUCAUCCAGUCCCUUGGACUUGUGGCAGUUCAAUUGGAGUAGCAGGUCUCUGACUGUUUCCUCCUGAAUUGUGGGGGCUUUAGUCUGCUCCCCAGCCAAGACUGCCAGGUCUGAGAGUGGAGAAACCUGAGGAUUACUGGUCUGACUUUUAAAGACAGAUGUAAAGAAAGCUUUCAGAACUUCUGCCUUUUCCUUAUCCUCAGUGGUCAC
ensembl:lncRNA